AGAGAGUUUCUCUUUUAGUUUUAACUCUUCAUCUUCUCUAAUAGUUUUCAUCUUUCUUUUUUUGGCCGCUUAAGUUGGAUUUACCCUACUCCUUCUGAGCAGGGGAGACCUUCGUCUUCUUACUAUUCGGAGAAUGAGUUUUCCUUCCCACCUCCAGGCUCUCAGAUCGAUGGUUCUCCGGCGAUCCUCGUCCGACGACAGUUUAUGGAGGUAGCUCGUGGAGUUUAAUUCUUGGAAGGCGCAGUGGGGUUAUUUAAGAGCGGGCCUUCUUCACUUUAGCCGACUCUUUUUCGAUCUGAAAAGAAGCCUCUCUUGAACCUGAUUUUACCGGUUGAAGUUGAGCUUUCCACAUUUGUUUUGGAUGCUUCAUUUUUUUUUUUGGAGGAGGAAAAUAUCCCUUCACCGGUCACCUUCCCUUUUAGUCAUUGGCCCUUGCAUCAAAAGCUUUUUCAGUUCUCCUUGAGUUUCAGUUUGCAUAUUUUUGCCUUUGUUUUAGCUUCAAUAGCAAGAGAUUGCUUCCAACGUGUUUGGUGGUUAUGGAAGACCGAUGCUCGGAGGAAGGAAAGGUCGACUUCUGCAAGCUCUUAUCCGUCGGGUCGGGUUUAUGGGUCAAGUCUAUAUAUAUAAAUAGAAAAGAGUAGAAAAUAAAAUUUUCAAAUUCAAAUUCUAAAAUUUUACGGACAUAAUAAUAUAUUUAUAUAUACGACAAAUUACCCAACUACUCCAUUUAUAUAAAGUUUGUAUAUUAUUAAUGCCUACUAAACCUUUAAAAAAAAAUUGUAUACCAAACAUUGUCCUUUAGUUAUUAUUUGCAUUAUGUAUUUAUUGUGGUACCGUCUACGUGAUCCACCA